CAAAUAUAUAGUAUGUAAAAACGAUAUUCAAAUAAUGGGCUUAUGCUCUGUCAAUAAACAAAAUUCCUAGACUCCGUGAUCGUGAAAUAUAAAAUAAAAAAAACGAUUUUAAUGAUUAGAAAAAAAAUAAUAAACAUUUCGCGAAUCCAAACGUUGAAUAACAACGCCGGUCGAACAAUUACGAAAUUGCUAUGUUAUAAUACGCGACGAUUAUAAAUAUUAUGUUUUCGCGAUCGUCUCGUAGAACGCGGCACUUGACUCGCCGCUUGAAUGUAUGCCACAAUAAUAUCGUUUGCAAAAAACAAUCGUGCGAAAAACGUGUUGUGUUCCUGGUUUCUAUGUACGUACAAUACCUAUAUCGGACGCGGGCGCGCGGCGUGUGAUGCGCAGCGACUAAGCGAAUAAUAUUAAUUCGUGCAAGUAAAUUUUCCCCGGUUCAUCGAUCUCUAUACUGUUAAUGAUAAAAUUAUUAUUGUUUUCAACGGUGUACACAGUGCACGUGAAAUUGAAUUAAAUGUAUUUAUUCCCGAUGACGGUCGUGCAUAUCAACCCGUUCACACCGCAUUAAAGUCCUUAAAUAAAUUUCCACCGUGUUCAAAACCCGACGCCUACCUACCUGUUUUUAAACUUAGGUGUUGUGCCGACAUGAAUACGAAUAUUAAUAAUAUUUCUACGCGGGUUUUCAAUAACAUUUUGCGCGUGGUACCAACCUUUGGAAUGUGUUCGACAAUCGUUUUUGCUUGCGUUUUAUCUUUGUUAUUUUUUUUUAUCAUAUCCAAUAACUCCAACGCCGAAUCGGGUGAAUCUAGAAGAUCGUACUCAACACAGGUAUCUAAUAGGCCCGAUUAUUAUGGUCUAUUUUAUAUUUAUGGGGAUAACCGCCACCUCUCUACUGACAUUUUUAGGACGUAGUUGUACUGUGCCAUUUAAACAAAAUGUCACAUAACUUACAAGUUUUAACUUUUCCCUACUAUACUGUACACUAUAUAUAUAUAUAUAUAUAUAUAUAUAUAUAUAUAUAUAGCAAUAAAUAACUUAUUUACAAUUGAUUUCAGCCAAACACGAGAAAUAAGGUAUAGAAUCAGAAAAAUAUAUUUGGAAAGGGACAAUAGUUGCAAUAACAAAAAAAAAUAUAAAGCUGAUAAUGCUGAUUAGUGUGUCACUGUUAUAGUUGAGAAGUUAGGACAUAUAAAUUUGUUUAAUUUAUAUCUGUAAUCAACGAUUACUAACGAAAGCUUUCUCGUCGAUGAUUUAACUUGGCGGAACUUAUUACAUGUUGAUCAUUUUUUUUUAAGUUCAAUAACGUGUGUGUGUGUGUUUUUCUGAGUUUAAAAUUAGCGAAGUAAGACAUAUUUUAAGUAUAAGGUAGUUAUCAUAAUAUUUCUUUAAACAUUUGCUAAUACCAAUAUAC